rnacentral:lncRNA from 1 species
AAAUUCCUCUAACCCCCGCACACAGAAACGAGCAUUGUUAACAGUCAGUGAAAAGUGAGCUUGCCUGGAUCCACAGAAAACUCAAAUCCUAUUCUAAGUCAGUGAUUCUUCUGAAGUGUGGUCCUUAGAGCAGCAGUAGCAAUAUCAUCUGGGAACUUGUUAGAAGUUCCCAGAAUCACCUGGGAACUCAGGCUGCACCUGGGACUUUUCGAAUCAGAGAAUCUGGGGUGGGCGCAACAAUCACCUCCAGAUGAUUCUGGUGCAUGCUAGAGUUUGAGAACUACCAUCUUGGGAAUGUGAGAAGGAGCCAAACAGAAAGCAAGAAUACGAUUCAGCGUUUCCAACGGAGACUGUGUCUGGUACAUAGCUGUAUAUUUUAGCGGUGGGUCCUUCUAGUAGUGGCAUGUGGGAUGCUGCCCCAGCAUGGCCUAAUGAGCAGUGCCAUGUCCAUGACCAGGAUCCGAACCUGCGAAACCCUGGGCCACGGAAGCGGAGCCGCAAACCCAACCACUCUGCCACAGGUCCACUCUCCACGUUUCCUCAUCCUGCUGUUGCCCCAGGAGGCUGACGUGUAUGCACUUGUACUUCAUCAACAACUUCCCUCGACCUCUGGCUUCCAGAGCCUUGCUACACAAAGAACCAGGUGGCAUCCCUCUGGUUUACACUCAAAGCUGACUAGGAGGGCACUAAGGGAGCCAUUCCGGGGCUUCACAGCAGAUUAGCAGCGCAACUUCCAUCAUUGUUAAUAAGAUUUACAGAGGUAAUCCACCUGCCAACGUACCAUGAAAAUUUAUUGUAUUUUGGCAACUGCAGAGCUCUCAGGCAAAUUCUGAUGACAAGCUUGCAUGCAAGAAAGAGUCAUUUGGAAAUUUAAAUAGAGUCAAAUUAUCUCUAUUUAAGGCACUAAUCUGCAAUUUUUAAAAUGAACUAUUUUGAGGUGUCCUAUUUAUGUGAUAGGAAGAGUAAAUGUUGGAAAAUUCUUGUAGUUUUUAAUCUAUUGAAAUUUCGUUUUGAAAGAGUCCAUUUCAUGGUCUGUUUAACUGUGUCAGAGGGACACUCUAACAAGAUGGAAAGUGAAAAGAAUUGCUAUGUUCACAUCUUGCUUUGUACCCUAAAAUGUGACAUUUAAAGCUAAAGGACCUUCAAGAUUUUGCAAUUAAUAUUAAAUUCUGGCAUUGGGAAAAGGACAUCUCUUGUUAACCAGCAUUUUGGACUUUUUUUUGUGAUGCAUAAGGAAAACACAGAUCUUUGAACUUGUAAAAAUGUUGACGUUAUUACAGUGAUAAAUAGACAACUGGGUGUGAAUUACCAGGUCAUUAAAGCAGGCUUCUUGAUUAAGGUCAAUUUGAUUCUAUCAUUGUGACUUAUCACAUGCCUGAGGCAUGCAUUAAAGACUUCAAAUCACACGUGCUUAGACUUGUUUUAUUGUCUAAUUAUUCAUAGCUAUUAUUGUGUGUUGUAACAAAGCAAU